CUGGAGGUAUCAGAAGUGCGAAUGCUGACAUAAGUAACGAUAAAGCGGGUGAAAAGCCCGCUCGCCGGAAGACCAAGGGUUCCUGUCCAACGUUAAUCGGGGCAGGGUGAGUCGACCCCUAAGGCGAGGCCGAAAGGCGUAGUCGAUGGGAAACGGGUUAAUAUUCCCGUACUUGGUGUUACUGCGAAGGGGGGACGGAGAAGGCUAUGUUGGCCGGGCGACGGUUGUCCCGGUUUAAGCGUGUAGGUGUGUGUUCCAGGUAAAUCCGGUUCACUUUAACACUGAGGCGUGACGACGAGGCACUACGGUGCUGAAGCAACAAAUGCCCUGCUUCCAGGAAAAGCCUCUAAGCAUCAGGUAACAUCAAAUCGUACCCCAAACCGACACAGGUGGUCAGGUAGAGAAUACCAAGGCGCUUGAGAGAACUCGGGUGAAGGAACUAGGCAAAAUGGUGCCGUAACUUCGGGAGAAGGCACGCUGACACGUAGGUGAAGUGAUUUACUCACGGAGCUGAAGUCAGUCGAAGAUACCAGCUGGCUGCAACUGUUUAUUAAAAACACAGCACUGUGCAAACACGAAAGUGGACGUAUACGGUGUGACGCCUGCCCGGUGCCGGAAGGUUAAUUGAUGGGGUCAGCGCAAGCGAAGCUCCUGAUCGAAGCCCCGGUAAACGGCGGCCGUAACUAUAACGGUCCUAAGGUAGCGAAAUUCCUUGUCGGGUAAGUUCCGACCUGCACGAAUGGCGUAAUGAUGGCCAGGCUGUCUCCACCCGAGACUCAGUGAAAUUGAACUCGCUGUGAAGAUGCAGUGUACCCGCGGCAAGACGGAAAGACCCCGUGAACCUUUACUAUAGCUUGACACUGAACAUUGAGCCUUGAUGUGUAGGAUAGGUGGGAGGCUUUGAAGUGUGGACGCCAGUCUGCAUGGAGCCGACCUUGAAAUACCACCCUUUAAUGUUUGAUGUUCUAACGUGGACCCGUGAUCCGGGUUGCGGACAGUGUCUGGUGGGUAGUUUGACUGGGGCGGUCUCCUCCUAAAGAGUAACGGAGGAGCACGAAGGUUGGCUAAUCCUGGUCGGACAUCAGGAGGUUAGUGCAAUGGCAUAAGCCAGCUUGACUGCGAGCGUGACGGCGCGAGCAGGUGCGAAAGCAGGUCAUAGUGAUCCGGUGGUUCUGAAUGGAAGGGCCAUCGCUCAACGGAUAAAAGGUACUCCGGGGAUAACAGGCUGAUACCGCCCAAGAGUUCAUAUCGACGGCGGUGUUUGGCACCUCGAUGUCGGCUCAUCACAUCCUGGGGCUGAAGUAGGUCCCAAGGGUAUGGCUGUUCGCCAUUUAAAGUGGUACGCGAGCUGGGUUUAGAACGUCGUGAGACAGUUCGGUCCCUAUCUGCCGUGGGCGCUGGAGAACUGAGGGGGGCUGCUCCUAGUACGAGAGGACCGGAGUGGACGCAUCACUGGUGUUCGGGUUGUCAUGCCAAUGGCACUGCCCGGUAGCUAAAUGCGGAAGAGAUAAGUGCUGAAAGCAUCUAAGCACGAAACUUGCCCCGAGAUGAGUUCUCCCUGAGACUUAGAGUCUCCUGAAGGAACGUUGAAGACGACGACGUUGAUAGGCCGGGUGUGUAAGCGCAGCGAUGCGUUGAGCUAACCGGUACUAAUGAACCGUGAGGCUUAACCUUACAACGCCGAAG
rnacentral:rRNA from 1 species